UUCUGAAGAAAUUCCUUACUCCUGGACUUGUGGGAGGUGGUGAAUGAGUGCUUGGAGAUGCAAGGAGAUUCCCUCUUCCUGCAGCUCAUUCUCUGCUCCAGGUGACUUUAGUAACCCAUAAGUUCCUCAGGGAGACAAAAGAUUUUGUUCCAGCAAAGAAUCAACCAUAAACUUCUACAGCAAACUGAAGUUUAAGACAAAAAUUGAGCCAAGUGAGCAUCAAGCAGUAACAGGCUUAGACUGGUUCUGCGUGUGCACAAAAGAAAAGGACACGAGUUUAUUUUGUGUCUCUCCAUAA
rnacentral:lncRNA from 1 species